GAAUCAGCCGCCCCUCACAUCACCGGAUGGAUCCAGUAAUGGGAACCCACCAGAGAGAUGUCCCCGUCCUCUGUAUUCCCGGAAUUCCACACAGAAAGGUCUUACCAUCCCUCACCAUCAGAGUGGAAACCUGAGUGAUUCUAACGUUGAUGUUAAAGAAG